CGGCCACGAGCUCACGCCAUCUAACGGCGUGGCGGCCGCUACUGCUCCGGCGUGUGGGUAAAAACAGACCGCCGACCGCCGUUCUGCUGCUCCCCGGUGCCAUGGUGUCGUGGAGCGACGAGACCAGUGAGGAUUCAGUCCUGAACAUCUCCUCCUCCUGCGAUGGCAUCAUCAAGCUUCCAGCUACGAUGCACGAUCCGAAUUUCAAUGGUACUGACGCAGAUGUGAAUGUGUUGUGUGAACACGGUGAGCCGGC